AUAAAUACAUACACGGCACAAAGUGGAUGCCUUGACUCGAAUAUCCGAUGAAGGACGCGCAAGACUGCGAUAAGCCUGGGUAAGUUGUCACGAAACGUUACAGCCCAGGAUUUCCGAAUGGGGGAACCCUAUCCAUCAAGAUGGAUAACCUGAUUAGGAGGACACCAGCCGAAUUGAAAUAUCUUAGUAAGCUGGGAAAAGAAAUCAACCGAGAUUCCGAAAGUAGUGACGAGCGAAAUUGGAACAGCCCAAACCUGUACGGUGCCAAGGAUGAGCCCGUUGCCGUACGGGGGUUACACGACAUAUCACCGCAAAGCUCAUAUAGCGAUACUGAUAUAUAAUUACAGAAAAAUUACCUGGAAAGGUAGGCCAAAGAGGGUAAUAGCCCCGUAUUCGAAAUAAUCUGUAUAUUCGGUACGAUAUGCUCGUAAGUAGUAUCGGACACGUGAAAUCCGGUAUGAAGUUAGGUCGACCACGAUCUAAGGCUAAAGAGUAUUCGAGAUCGAUAGUGAACAAGUACUGUGAAGGAAAGGUAAAAAGAACCCCGGGAGGGGAGUGAAAUAGAUCCUGAAACUUUGUGCUUACAAAGAGUCGGAGCGCUUCGGCGUGACGGCGUGCCUUUUGGAGAAGGAACCAACGACUUACGUAUACGUGGCAAGGUUAAGACAGAUAUAGUCGGAGCCGAAGGGAAACCAAGUCUGAAUAGGGCGAUUUUAGUCACGUAUAGUAAACCCGAAACCCGUGUGAGCUAUUCAUGGCCAGGCUGAAGGUGGGGUAACACCUACUGGAGGGCCGAACCAAUUGGAGCUGCAAGUCCACUGGAUGAGCUGUGAAUAGGAGUGAAAAGCUAAUCGAACCGGGAGAUAGCUGGCUCUCCGCGAAAUAUAUUUAGGUAUAGCGUAUAAUAGUAACCAAGAGGGGUAGGGCUCUGAUAAGACUAGCGGGUUUAUUCCAACUUAGCAAAUCUUGAUAAACUUCGAAUACUCUUGGCGGAAUAUUAUACAGUCGGACAGUGACGGAUAAGCGCCAUUGUCAAAAGGGAAACAGCCCAGAUUCCUAUCUAAGGUCCCCAAGUUAUAACUCAGUGGAAAAGGAUGUGCGAUUACUAAGACAGCCAGGAUGUUGGCUUAGAAGCAGCCACUCAUUCAAAGAGUGCGUAAUAGCUCACUGGUCGAGUGAUUGUGCGCCGAAAAUUCAGCGGGGCUUAAGUUAUACACCGAAGAUGGAAGAUUUAUACAUUAGUAUGGAUCGGUAGCGGAGCGUUCUGUAAGCCUGUGAAGCAGUUGGGUAACCACCUGUGGAGGUAUCAGAAGUGCAAAUGUUGGUAUGAGUAACGUAAUGGAGGUGAAAACCCUCCACACCGAAUACCCAAGGUUUCCUGUCCUACGUCAGUCGUGGCAGGGUUAGUCGGUCCUAAGGUGCACCCGAAAGGGGCAAGCCGAUGGAUAUCUGGUUAAUAUUCCAGAACUAUAUACAAGAGGUUAUUACCUAUGUGGGGACGCAUCGCGAAUAUCGGACACUCUCAUGGAUAUGAGUGAAGAGUAAUGCUUUUGGUUGUGUAGGCAAAUCCGCACAACAAUACAAGAGGGUUAUGAUUCCUUACCCAAUACUUCUUCGGAAGGGAUAAGUAAGGUCCUGUGAUAUGAAGGUGCCAAGAAAAGCCACUCUGGGACAAAUGUAUAUAACCGUACCGUAAUCGAACACUCGUGGGUGGAUGUGAGUACAUUAAGGUGGACGGGAUAACUGAGCUUAAGGAACUCUGCAAAACAGCGGUCGUAACUUCGGGAUAAGACCUGCCUCCUCAGCAUUUAUCUGAGAGGCCGCAGCUAACGAGUCCAGGCGACUGUUUACCAAAAACACAGCUCCGUGCUAAAUCGCAAGAUGAUGUAUACGGGGUGAUGCCUGUCCGGUGCCAGAAGAUCACGGGGAGGGGUGCAAGCUCUGAACCUAAGUCCUGGUGAACGACGGCCGUAACUAUAACGGUCCUAAGGUAGCGAAAUUCCUUGUCGGGUAAGUUCCGACCCGCACGAACGGCAUAACGGUCUGGACACUGUCUCAAGCUCAGGCCCGGUGAAAUUACAAUAUCGGUAAAAAUGCCGAUUACUCGCAGCAAGACGGAAAGACCCUAUGAAGCUUUACUCUAGUUUGGCAUUGAGUCGUACGUAUAUUUGUGCAGGAUAGGUGGGAGACGCUGAAGGUGGAACGCUAGUUCUACUGGAGUCAUCCUUGAGAUACCACCCUUGUAUACGUAUGCCUCUAACCCGCCCAAGGCGGGGACCGUGCUUGAUGGGGAGUUUAACUGGGGCGGUUGCCUCCUAAAAUGUAACGGAGGCGCACAAAGGUAGGUUAGAUUCGGAUGGAAAUCGGAUCGAUAGUGUAUUCGCAUAAACCUGCUUGACUGAGAGACCUACAAGUCGAUCAGAGACGAAAGUCGGUGAAAGUGAUCCGGCACCAACACGUGGGAGUGGUGUCGCUCAACGGAUAAAAGUUACUCUAGGGAUAACAGGCUGAUCGCGUCCAAGAGUUCAUAUCGACGACGCGGUUUGGCACCUCGAUGUCGGCUCGUCGCAUCCUGGGGCUGGAGAAGGUCCCAAGGGUAUGGCUGUUCGCCAUUUAAAGCGGUACGCGAGCUGGGUUCAGAACGUCGUGAGACAGUUUGGCCCCUAUCUGCUGUGAGCGUUUAGAUACUUGAUGAGACCUGUUCCUAGUACGAGAGGACCGGAAUGGACGAACCCCUGGUGGAUCGGCUGUCAUCCAAUGGCACCGCCGAGUAGCUAAGUUCGGAAUGGAUAACCACUGAAAGCAUAUAAGUGGGAAGCUGACUCAAAGAUAAGGUAUCUCACCAGAUUUAGUCUGGAUAAGUGCCCUCGGAGACUACGAGGUUGAUAGGAUGUAAGUGGAAGCAUAGAAAUAUGUGGAGCUGAGCAUUACUAAUAGCACGAACGGUAUUUAUAU
rnacentral:rRNA from 1 species